rnacentral:ncRNA from 2 species
UGGCAGCCGGGAGAUGGCAUUCCUCCCGCGGCAUGGGCCCCGCCGCCCCGGCCGCAAACCGCAGCCCGCUGAUGAUGCCUGCCAACGC